ensembl:miRNA mir218b microRNA 218b
CAGGACACCAUUGUGCUUGAUCUAACCAUGCAGUUCCCUUUCUGUCCAUGGUUGUGCCAAGCACUUUGGAGACUUG